rnacentral:rRNA from 1 species
CUUGGCGACCAUAGCGUUUUGGACCCACCUGACUCCAUUCCGAACUCAGAAGUGAAACGAAAUAGCGCCGACGGUAGUGUGGGGCUUCCCCAUGUGAGAGUAGGACAUCGCCAGGC